CUCACUGAGUUCCCUAGUCUCUGUCUCUAAGCAGCAGUUUCCCUAGUAGGCCUGUGCCCCUGGCUAGCAUUGACCUCUACGGCAUAACCUUUCCUUCAGUGGCACAGGACUAAGAAAAGUCACAUGUGCUUUCAACCACUGAAGACCCACAUAAUUGGCCUAUGGUCAGCUAGGCCCUUUUGCAGAUUUUGGUCUCUCUGCUCUCACUGCUUUGGGAAAUUAUGCUAUGUGGACAGCAUGAUCAGUAAACCUGCCUCCCUCCUUGUGGCCCUGGGAGGAAGCCAUGGACUCUACCAAGUCUGAACCCCUGAAGGGAUCACCAGAGGCUGGAGUGCAAUGGCGUGAUCUCGGGUCACUGCAACCUCCGCCUCCCGGGUUCAAGCGAUUCUCCUGCCUCAGCCUCGCGAGCAGCCGGGAUUACAGGCAUGCGCCACCACGCCCAGCUAAUUUUUGUAUUUUUAGUAGAGACGGGGUUUCGCUGUGUUGGCCAGGCUGGUCUCGAACACCUGACUUCAGGUGAUCCGCACACUCCUUGGCCUCCCAAAGUGCUGUGAUUUACAGGCGUGAGGCACCGCACCCGGCUGAGUUGUUUAAUUUCUUGACCGUGUAUGAGCACCUCGCAGUUCGAGAAGAGGGGAGAAGUGGACACACUGUGAGUGGUCUGAGUCAUGAGACAGCCAUGCGGCUGUGAAUUGA
rnacentral:lncRNA from 1 species